rnacentral:rRNA from 1 species
AUUGAACGCUGGCGGAAUGCUUUACACAUGCAAGUCGAGCGGCAGCGCGGGGGCAACCUGGCGGCGAGCGGCGAACGGGUGAGUAAUACAUCGGAACGUGCCCAGACGUGGGGGAUAACUACUCGAAAGAGUGGCUAAUACCGCAUACGAUCUACGGAUGAAAGCGGGGGGAUCGCAAGACCUCGCGCGUCUGGAGCGGCUGAUGGCAGAUUAGGUAGUUGGUGGGAUAAAAGCCUACCAAGCCAACGAUCUGUAGCUGGUCUGAGAGGAUGAUCAGCCACACUGGGACUGAGACACGGCCCAGACUCCUACGGGAGGCAGCAGUGGGGAAUUUUGGACAAUGGGCGAAAGCCUGAUCCAGCCAUUCCGCGUGCAGGAUGAAGGCCUCGGGUUGUAAACUGCUUUUGUACAGAACGAAAAAGACUCUGGCUAAUACCUGGAGUCCAUGACGGUACUGUAAGAAU